rnacentral:lncRNA from 1 species
GGAAGCAUCUUUUAGCCGACUAUACAUCACUUUGUUUUGAAACAAGGAAGCUGCGCUCUGUCAUGUGCUGCCUUUUUUAUUUAUUCAGGCUAAACCUACAAUAUGUGAAUCAACCCGUUUAAUGAAUCCUGGGACAUGCUGAUGACUGUAAACUGGCCUUUCCGAGUCAUAGAAAAAAAAAAGAUGGCCUUAUUUCUCCAGAAGUGAGUGAACCACACUUCCAGGCUAUUUGAACUUCUGAAGCCCUAAAAUAAAUAACUAAGUACAAAGCACAGUUGUAACUACCUGAAAUAUGAAGAUCCAGUUUCAUACAAACAUUUGUAUGAUGUGAAUAGUUGAUGGCAUUUUUUUGUCAUGAAAAAAAAAUAAUGUAAAUCACAGACUUUUGCCAAAGCUCUUAUUUUUUUUCUAAAUCUCUCCAGAAAAAAAUUGCAAGUGAUUAGAUUCAAUUAUUGAUUUAUUUACUUCUACUUUGUAUCCAUGACUUCUCCGAAUCAAACCACGGUAUAUGUUGUGACAAUAUCUAUGGCCACUGUUAGCCCAUUAUGUUCAUUCCAAUUAGAAGAAAUGUGAAUACUAUAUUACGUGUUUUGAGUGACGAGUUUGGGAAAAUAAAAACACUGUAUUUUUAAAAGGGAAAUGCACUUAAAUGAAAACAGUUAUUACAAAAGUUAAGAUUUAAAAAAAAGAAAAAGCAAGAGUUUUUAUUAUGAUGUAAUACCGGUAGAAUAUUGAAUAUUUAAAAGGCACACUACAUCUGAUAGUCAAUGUAAAUAUUUUCUUUCCAAGUUGUAAGUUUUCAUAUCAUGUGUUGUAAAGUUUUCCUAAACGAGGCUUUAACGUAAACACUGGUGACAUAAACCAUUCAUUGCUACCUUGCUUAUUGUGUUUUUACGCGGUUUUAUACUUUUUUUAUGAGUUAUGAUAGCAGCAAUUACGUUGUUUGUAUUUUGCUUAACUAAAACAAAAAUGCUUUUAUCUUGCUAUAGAAUAAACACAUUUCAGUAAAAUCUGUGGACUGUAUUUUGAUGCAACCGCAAGGACACUGUUCACUUUUCAAAUAAAAUGGAAUGUCAAAUUUUAUUUUUGGUCCCUUGACUACGUUAAGUUGGGGAACAUGACACUUGACCAGCCCUGCCUGGCCUGAGCAGUGUCCUCCAUUUUCAUCUGGAAGCACAGUUUUCAUGACCAAGAAUUUGGAUUCUACAGCCAAAUCCCAGGGCCC